UACAGAGGUCUCAAGCGUUGUUCGGAUUCAUUGGGCGUAAAGGGUGCGUAGGUGGCGGGGUAAGUCGGAUGUGAAAUCUCAGGGCUCAACCCUGAGACUGCAUUCGAUACUGCCUUGCUCGAGGACUGGAGAGGAGAUUGGAAUUCACGGUGUAGCAGUGAAAUGCGUAGAUAUCGUGAGGAAGACCAGUGGCGAAGGCGGAUCUCUGGACAGUUCCUGACACUGAGGCACGAAGGCCAGGGGAGCAAACGGG
rnacentral:rRNA from 1 species